rnacentral:rRNA from 1 species
UACAGAGGUCUCAAGCGUUGUUCGGAUUCAUUGGGCGUAAAGGGGUGCGUAGGUGGCGCCGUAAGUCAGGUGUGAAAUUUCGGAGCUUAACUCCGAAACUGCAUUUGAUACUGCGGUGCUUGAGGACUGGAGAGGAGACUGGAAUUUACGGUGUAGCAGUGAAAUGCGUAGAGAUCGUAAGGAAGACCAGUGGCGAAGGCGGGUCCUCU